rnacentral:rRNA from 1 species
AUGAGUAUUCUAAGUUGGAACUGCCGGGGAGGGGGGAAUACCCGGACAGUUCGCGAACUUGCGACGAUUUGUCAGUCACAUUCCCCCUAUUUGGUGUUUUUGUGUGAAACGAGGCAAAAAACAGAGAAGAUGAGAAGGAUUCGGGGGCGCAUUGGCCUCAAAGGGUUUUGUGGAGUGGACAGUGAUGGUAUGAGUGGCGGACUAGCUCUAUAC